ACACACGAAGCAGCAAGUUUUCUCAGAUCUGAAUAAAAAGUUAAAAUGUUAUAUUCUGGAAAUCUGCAGUGGAUCUUAACAGAUCAGAUUGACAAUCCUGGUUAUUCGAAAUAAACAAUAAGAAGGUGAGUUUCAACAGUAGCAGAGCUUAGAAAUAGUCCAGUGCCCCCACCAUAAAGACUAAUUAUGUCUGACUCAUUUUGUAGAAAAGGUCGGGGUGUAGAGAGCAGACGUCAUGCCGGCGUGUUCAGUUUUAUAACUCAAACACACUACGCCUUCAUACCAAAAAGCUGCAUGCUGGCAAGACUAGUCUCCAUCCUCACUCCAGUUUUUGAAUUGGAUCACUGCGCUUCAGCCGGUGUUGGGGAGUGUCUGUAAACACACGUCGGCAGUUCUGGACCUCUUCACGUAUUUACUGGGAAUGUGAUUCAGCCAAGAGAAGCCGAGCAUAUCUGCUCUGCUGAUUGGCUUCCUCUGUGGAGCGUCAUCAAUGAUCCAUGAAGAGGCUGAUGAGAGAGGAGUUCAGUGCUCUGUCCUUUGCCUGCUCUAUAUAUGCAGAGAAUACAGCUGUGGAAUAAAAUUAGGACACAUUCAGUUCGUUUAAAAGAAAUGUUUACAUACUGAUCUCUACUCUUAAUUUAUCUGUGGAAAAGAAAUAAAGUUGACCUAUAAUUAA